rnacentral:rRNA from 1 species
ACGUAGGUGACAAGCGUUAUCCGGAAUUACUGGGCGUAAAGCGCACGCAGGUGGUUUUGCAAGUCUGGCGUGAAAUCUCCUGGCUUAACCAGGAGCGGUCGCUGGAAACGGCAAGACUUGAGGCGAGGAGAGGGGUGCAGAAUUCCCGGUGUAGUGGUGAAAUGCGUAGAGAUGUGGAGGAACACCGAUGGCGAAGGCAGCCCCCUGGGCCGAUACUGACGCUCAUGCACGAAAGCGUGGGGAGCAAACAG